AACGUAGGUGGCUAGCGUUGCCCGGAAUCACUGGGCGUAAAGCGGGUGUAGGCGGUUCUUUAAGUCGGAUGUGAAAUCCAGCGGCCCAACCGCUGAAUUGCAUCCGAUACUGGGGAACUUGAGGACGGUAGAGGUCGGUGGAAUUCCUGGUGUAGCGGUGAAAUGCGCAGAUAUCAGGAGGAACACCAAUGGCGAAGGCAGCUCGCUGGGACGUGACUGACGCUGAGACGCGAAAGCGUGGGGAGCAAACAGG
rnacentral:rRNA from 1 species